UUAGAGUUUGAUCCUGGCUCAGGAUGAACGCUAGCGGCAGGCUUAACACAUGCAAGUCGAGGGGCAGCAUAAUGAAGUAGCAAUACUGAAUUGAUGGCGACCGGCGCACGGGUGCGUAACGCGUAUGUAACCUACCUUUAACAGGGGGAUAACACUGAGAAAUUGGUACUAAUACCCCAUAACACAAUUGAGGGCAUCCUUAGUUGUUAAAAGUUCCGGCGGUUAAAGAUGGACAUGCGUUGUAUUAGCUAGAUGGUGAGGUAACGGCUCACCAUGGCGACGAUACAUAGGGGGACUGAGAGGUUAACCCCCCACAUUGGUACUGAGACACGGACCAAACUCCUACGGGAGGCAGCAGUGAGGAAUAUUGGUCAAUGGACGCAAGUCUGAACCAGCCAUGCCGCGUGCAGGAAGACGGCUCUAUGAGUUGUAAACUGCUUUUGUACAAGGGUAAACCUCGGUACGUGUACCGAGCUGAAAGUACUGUACGAAUAAGGAUCGGCUAACUCCGUGCCAGCAGCCGCGGUAAUACGGAGGAUCCAAGCGUUAUCCGGAUUUAUUGGGUUUAAAGGGUGCGUAGGCGGAUUGAUAAGUUAGAGGUGAAAGCUCGGGGCUCAACUCCGGAACUGCCUCUAAUACUGUUGAUCUAGAGAGUAGAUGCGGUAGGCGGAAUGUAUGGUGUAGCGGUGAAAUGCUUAGAGAUCAUACAGAACACCGAUUGCGAAGGCAGCUUACCAAACUAUAUCUGACGUUGAGGCACGAAAGUGUGGGGAGCAAACAGGAUUAGAUACCCUGGUAGUCCACACUGUAAACGAUGAAUGCUAGGUGUAGGGAAGGAUACUUUUCUGUGCCGCAGUUAACACAAUAAGCAUUCCACCUGGGGAGUACGGCCGCAAGGUUGAAACUCAAAGGAAUUGACGGGAGCCCGCACAAGCAGUGGAGUAUGUGGUUUAAUUCGACGCAACGCGAAGAACCUUACCUAAACUUGACAUCCCGGAAAAAGGCCCAUAAAAAGCUAAUGCCCUUCGGGGAAUCUGGUGACAGGUGGUGCAUGGUUGUCGUCAGCUCGUGUCGUGAGAUGUUGGGUUAAGUCCCGCAACGAGCGCAACCCCUACGGUUAGUUGCUACGCAAGAGCACUCUAGCCGGACUGCCGUUGACAAAACGGAGGAAGGCGGGGACGACGUCAAAUCAUCAUGCCCCUUACGUUUAGGGCUACACACGUACUACAAUGGCGCAAACAAAGGGAAGCGAUGCCGCGAGGCGGAGCAAAACCCAAAAAAGGCGUCCCAGUUCGGACUGCAGGCUGCAACUCGCCUGCACGAAGUUGGAAUUGCUAGUAAUCGCGGAUCAGCAUGCCGCGGUGAAUACGUUCCCGGGCUUUGUACACACCGCCCGUCAAG
rnacentral:rRNA from 1 species